rnacentral:tRNA from 1 species
GGGCCUGUAGCUCAGUCAGGUAGAGCGAUGGACUCUUAAUCCAUCGGUCGCGGGUUCGAACCCCGUCAGGCCCGCCA